UUGUGGAAUUAUGGUUAUAGAAUGUUAAUGCCUUGGUUUUCAUCUUACAGAUAAUAGGAAUAUGCUUAACUGAACCGAGCCGAUUUAUUGGAAAGAAGAAUUUGGAUGGUUGCAAGUGCUUUGAACAUGUAGCUUGUAACUGAAAUUGAAUUGUAACUUGGAAAUUUUUGUAAUUGGAUUUGAAAUUUGAAUGGAAAUGUGAAUAUGGAUUAGUUUAUAAUGGUUGAG
rnacentral:lncRNA from 1 species